CAAUCGUUAAUCUUCGCACAUUUUAGUGGCUAUUAAUGGUAACAAAUCUUGAUUCAGCUUUAGAACCAAUGUAUCCUCCAAGGAGCCACUCGAGAGUCCCAUUCUAUUAUUGCUAAGAAUGAGUUUAAGCGCACUGAACGCUCGUUCCACGCUGACUUGUGUUGAAGGGGCUAGCAAAAUAACCAUUGCAACCGUAUAUAAGGGAGAAGUGAACCUUUGGCAUUCCCAGAACUUGAGCAAAUCAAAUUGGCUUUGCGUACUGUUUGGUUCUUGAAUAAUAGUAACUUUCUCACGCAUUUCUAGUUUCUUCAAUUCUAUUAGCAAAUUGUUUGAGCUUGACGCUGAAACACCAAAGUAUUCUUCUUCGAAAAAUUGCGAUAACGUUUCCUCAAUAAAACUAUUCGAAGUACUCUGGGUUCCAGCGGAGGCUGCUUCAGCCUGCGGUUGCUCGACUUUUCUCCCUUGAAGCUUGGAAAUUUUUUCAUCUAGACGCAGAAUGAAAUCCUGGAAACAAUAAAAAUAAUUAUUACUUGCACUUUAAAAAUGAGAAAAACAACCAGGAGCCGAUUUUAGAAUGCAUAUUGUUAUAUUUAUGGGAUCAUGUACUAAUUUGAACAACCAGCUCGAAAUUUUAAUACCUAAACAACAGAAAGAAGGUUAAGUGAGCUAAAUCGGGAGAAAAAUAUCUACUCGUAAGUCCCGCCCCAAAUUGUACUAUUUCAUUAAAAUCGAUCAAAGUAGUCCCCUACAUUCUGACCCUCUCACUGUCAAAUUUUUUCCUCGCAGAAGUAUUUUGGAUAUCAUCGAGAUCGGACUGCAAAACGGUGUGGUCCUAAUUCCCUGAGGUUGCAACGGUUUGCGGUUUGGUGUAGAUCAUAUCUCUUCCGUACGAUGAUCUUUGGGUUUAGCGAGCUAUGAAUUUUGCUUCUGACUGAAUAAUUCCUGGAGUUCAAGUCUUCGGAGUAUCGAGCUCAUAGUAAACGAUUGGAGUAACGACAUUAAGUCACUAAGUCUUUUCGAACCUGCAAAAUUAAACCGUGGAUCAAGAUACAAGCACGAUUUAAAUUGAAGAGUUUCGUCAUUGCCUUCAAUUGUACGAAGCAAGUAAGCCAGUGCGCGUAAAAUUCUGAUAACGGCACAUGAUGUUUUUGCAAGUGUAAUGUUAAAAUAAACGCAGGCUCAAAUGCCUCACAAAAAGUUUCUAGAAACUUCCAAUAUGGCGAAAAAUCUAUAAAGAAGACGAGU